rnacentral:lncRNA from 1 species
ACCCUGGCACCUCCCCACAGCCCCGCAUCGGACCCAAGGACAGUCCCAGGAGACGUGGGGGCGCUCACCCCUUUCGUGGACGGGAAACUGAGGCAGGCGGGUGAAGGUCGGCUCACAUGCGGAGCUCAGGUGGGUGGGGACCCUGGGCCAAGACCCUGUCUCAGUGCCUCAGUGGGGACUGGGUUGGAUGGGAGGGGGGAUACGGUGCAGGAGGAGGGGACUUAGAACCAGGGGGAGAGCGGAGAGCCUCCAGGAUGAACUAGGGGAGAAGGGAAUGGCAGCAGCGUUCGCUCCUAUUCACCGAACCCCUGGCUGGCUGACCCGGGAAAAACAGUCUACCAAUUUAUCUCAUAAAGUAACCCUAAAAUACUUCUGCAGGCAUCACCCUAUGUUCCAGGUGAGCCACUGAGGCUCAGGGAGGACAGAGGUGAAGGAUCUUGCCCCAGUCACAGGAGGAAUCACAGGCAGAAAGGGGGAGAUGGAAAGAGGUAGGAGGGAGAGCAGGGAAGGAGAGGAGGGACUGGAGGGGGCAGAAGGAAGGGGAGGUGGCUGUCCCAGGAUGGAGUCAGGGGCCAUCCUCAAAGUCCAGCUUCAGCUUCUCCAGGUUUUUGCCCACAUCCUGGGACAGGGGGCUCCUCUCCCCCUGGACAUACUCAUCCGGUGGGCAGCUGUGCCUGCUAGGAAGGCCUUCUACCCACCUCCCAGACAUCCCACAGGGAAGCAACUUUCACUCCCAGACCGCUGGUGCUCCCCUGCCUCCCAGGCCUGGGGUGGGUGUGGGUGAGGACGCUGCAAGGUAGUGGUCAGGACACAAGCAUCAGCAUCGGACAUCCCUGGUUCAAGUCCUACUCAGAGUGGGAAGGACACAGACUUUGCAGUGAUUCCUUGUGUGUGACUCCCAGCUUCACCACUCCUGGUUGUGCAACCUCAGACAAAUGCCUUGACCUCCCCUGGCCUCAGCUUCCUUAUCUGUCAAGUGGGGUAUUCCUAGUCUCCCCAGGCCACUGAGGGGCAUGGUGGGAAUGGAUAAGAAUGUGGGUGUGAGCUGUAUGCAUGGGAGGGAUUGAUUAUGUUCCAGUAUGUGCCUGCUAGGAAGGCCUUCCACUCACCUCCCAGACAUCCCACAGGGAAGCAGCUCAUGUUCACUGAGCACUGACGGGAUGGCUGGUCCUACAUGAAGUCCCAGGAAAGACCUGUGCAUGAAGUCCCAGGGAAGACCCUGACCCGCUCCCUGUGCAGGCAGGGUAGACAGACACUUGAACAAAUAACCACAGUCCAAGACACAAAUGCAGAUCAUUUUCAGAUGCAUUUAAUUCUGAACAGCCCUGUGAGGAGGGCAGGACAAAGAUUAUUAUCCCAUUAGACAGAUGAAGAAGCUGAGGUCCAGAUAAAUCAAGUGAGUUGCUGAAGGUCACACAGCAAUGAGGGGCAGAGCUGGGUCUUGACCCUGGAGCCCUUUUCACUCUGGGGGUACCAGGCCUGCCAGAAAGGUUAUCACCAAAGGGUUCUGGAAGAGUGACCUCCUCAAACUUUCCCUGUCCUCAGACUGGCUUGUGGCCUGAGAGUCCGCUAUCAGCACAUCAUACCUUUGGCUAAAAAUGUGCUAAAAAUGUGCCAGCCCCUCCAGUGUCAAUCAAAUGGCCAUCAGUCAUUUACACUUGAGUGUGGAGAAGCCGAUCAGAUUUUAUGGGUUGGAGAUGAGAAGGAAUCUUGAGUGUUUGGACUUUUGGGUGGGAAACUGGAGAUAUGAGAGGAAAGUUUGACAGCAGAGAGAACUCAGGAGGUGGGUGGGGAGGGAGUCAUGGUUAACUGGAGGAUGGAGUGAGUCCGCAUGACCUAGACACCUCUGUGUACCUCACCUCCAUGAAGUAUAACCAAUGUCUGGCACUCGUGGAGCACUUAGGAUAUACCAGACACUGUGCUCUCUCCUUUUUUUUGAGAUGGAGUCUUGCUCUGUCACCCACGCUGGAGUGCAUUGGCAUGAUCUCAGCUCACUGCAACCUCCACCUCUCCGGUUCAAGCAAUUCUCCUGCCUCAGCCUCCCGAGUAGCUGGGACUACAGGUGCAUGCCCAGCUAAUUUUUUUUAAAAACAUAUUUUAGUAGAGACCGGGUUUCACCAUGUUGCCCAGGCUGGUCUCCAACUCCUGAGCUCAGGCAAUCAGCCCGCCUUGGCCUCCCAAAAUGCAGCCGCUCUCUCCUUUAAUCUUUUUGUUUGUUUGUUUUUAAGACAGUCUCACUCUGUCGCCCAGGCUGCAGUGCAGUGGCACAAUAUCAGCUCACUGCAACCUCCACUUCCCAGGUUCAAGCAGUUCUCCUGCCACAGCCUCCAGAGUAGCUGGGACUACAGGUGUACACCACCAUAUUCAGCUAAUUUUUUUGUAUUUUUAGUAGAGAUGGGGGGGGUCACCAUGUUGGCCAGGCUGGUCUUGAACUCCUGAGAUACCCCUGCCUCAGCCUCCCAAAGUGCUGGAAUUACAGGUCUGAGCCACCAUGCCCGGCCUCUCCUUUACUCUUCAUGGCAACUGUUAUCUUUCUUUUUACAGAUGAGAAAAGGGAGGCACAGAGAGGCUAAAUAAUUUGGCCAAGAUCACACAGAAGCAGAGGAGCAGAAGGGUGGACCCAGGCAGGCCAGCUCUGCAGCCCCUGCUCUUGGCCACCAUGGGCUCCUCCUCUGGGCUAACCCAGCCCUUGCCAGAAUCCUACAUGGAAAGUAUUAUCAUCCCAUUGAAUAGAAGAGGAAAUGGAGGCACAGAGGGGCCCCAGGAUGGCAGAAUUAGUAACUGGGGUUGGGGGGAGCUGGGAUUAGACCCAGGUCUGAAAGCCAGGCCUUCCCUCUACCCUUCCUAUUUGCCAAACACCCGGGCCCCAUCCUGCCCAAGGUCAGCAGCCCAGGUGGCAGGAUGUGCUUCUGCCUGGUGCUGGCCUUGGGGAGCACUUGUUUUUCCCCAGAGGAAGCAGCAGGUGUGGCCUUCUUUAUGGAAAUGAUCCUAACUGGGUUGGAGCCAGGAUUCCCCCCAACACACACCCAGGCCAGGAGGACUUCAAUAGGACUAGGUCAGAGCUUCUAGGCUUGGAUGGAGGGGCUGGAAUUUGGGAGAGGGGCUCGGAGGUCAGUCCCAUUUUGGUAAGCCUCUCACCCUCUGGACUCCAUAUCUCCUGCUAAUCGCACUCCUUGGAUGAGACAGUGACAUGGAAGUGCCUCCCAGCUCAGCCCUGGGGAGACCUCUCCAAGGUCACUGAAGGAAGCUGGGGGCAUGCCCCUACCCUUCUUUCUGGAGCAGAGCCCUGGGACCUUCUGGAGUCCCAGUCAGGCUGGGGUCUACAAGGGUUAAGACUCCAAGUGACUUCUCUGUCUGCCCCUCAUGCAGAUAAAAGUUUCCAUUCAAGGAAGAGCUGCCUUAGGGCUGCCAAGUUAUCCUGAUUCUGUCAUUGUAGCAUCAAGGUGGGGGCCUUGGGCCUUCCCAGCCUCUUCAAGGGGACAUUCUUGGGUGGGAUGUGGCUCCUAACUGGUGUCACCACCUCAAAGGCCAAUAUCCCAAGACCCAGAAUUCCCACGUUGGACUCAGGGACUGGCGAGAUCACACUGACUCCUUCUGCCAGGGCCCUUUAAGAGCCGCCCAUCCCGCCCAUGAUGCUCCUGCUUAGUGAGUCAGACACUUGCAUUAGGCCCCAGGGGAGGAAGAGAAACAGGCCUCAGAAAGCACUUGGAAGGGCAGGGAAGGGCUGGGAAGAAACCUGGCUCAGAAGAUGGUGCCCUCCCCUCACAUAUUCCCAGACUGGAAGGGGCAUCUUACUUCUGAGCUCCCCACAGCCCCAGCCUCCUGGCUGUCUCUCCUGGCUGCUGAAAUAAAGGCCAAGCCCUUUUAUCACCUUUGUUAUGUGACCCUGCCUGCUGGUUGGGCCUCAUCUCUCGCCCCUAGUUCUUUGCUUUCAGGGCCACACCAGCCCUCUUGACUGUUCUUGAAUCCAUCAUGAUUCUUUCUACCCCAGGGACCUUGCACUAGCCAGCAUCUUGCUGCGCUUCCUCCCGUCUCAAUUGGCUAAUGUGGGAGAGGCAUUUUCUUUACACACCCAGAGAAAAUAGAGCCUGCUACCUUCCAAGACUGAGAGGGUUGGAAGAAACUUUUUGUAUUGUAGCUUGAGGGUGGGAAGGAGAAGACACAAUUUGAGCAUAAGAAGGUGAGCUGGAAGCUGGGCACGGUGGCUUAUGCCUGCAAUCCCAGUGUUAGGAAUGCUUGUUCUCCACUGCUGCAAAGAAAUAGCACUCAAACAUAAAUUUAAUUUUCUCAGCAAGCAAUUUUUAGUUUCUGUAGAAAGGGUGCUCCUCAUAGAUGGAACAAUGGUGAGAGCACAGUUGAACAAGGGAGGGGAAGGGGUUCUUAUUCCUGACCCAGGUAAUCCCUGCUGCUAUGUUGUUCCCCUGUUGGCUAAGGUUGGACCGCACGGUCUAAGCUAAUUCCGAUUGGCUAUUUUAAAGAGAGCAGAGGUAUGAGCCAGAGUGGCGAGGUGAGUAGUUUGGCAGGAAGGACAGUUAGGAACGGGUAACUAAAGGUGACUUACAUCAGAGCAGGUGACCAGGGGUGACUCAGGUCAAAGCAGGUGACUGGGAUGAGUCAGGAUGGAGCAAGUGACCAGGGGAACAGGUGUGAACUACUGAAUAAAACUGAUGGAAAAGGUUGUUUACUGAAAUUAGAAGCAAGGGGGCGAAGAGAACCAGGAAGUUAAACUUUAAAAUGGAGAAUCAAAGAAUAAGAGAGCUGAACAUACAGACAUACUGAUUCUUUGAAGAAAAACUUGGGGUUCACCAUAUUUAACAUGAGCACUUUGGGGGGUUGAGGCAGGUGGAUCACUGCAGGUCAGGAGUUCGAGACCAGCCUGGCCAACAUGGUGAAACCCCGUCUCUACUAAAAAUACAAAAACUAG